UCCAUGGAAGACAAUUUUGGCUUACUGCCCCUUUUCUGUGUAGCAUGUGACACAAACUGAUCAAAUUGCAGUGAUCAUAUGAAUCUUGAGUCCUGACAAAAUCAGUUUAUUUUUAUCUUCAUUUAGAUGAUUGUUGUUUUUUAUAUGUACUUCUUUUUGGAUAUGUAAGCAGGAACCGUUCUUGCAACAGUGUAGAUAGCGCCAUUCUGGCUGUGGACGGCGAAAAUCCUGAUCUGGGAAAGGGCGUUGAAGGUGUAUGAAGAUUGGCUGAUGUGAAUAUGUUCUGAGAAGAAAGCAGUCCUGGGAUCCAAGAAAGGCCUGAGAAAGGGUUUCUAGUUAUGUGGACUGCAGUUAUCUCUUACCUCCAUGCAAACAAACUUCAUAUUCUCUCUUAUUUCUGUUGGCAAACUGAAUAUUGGUACCUCUAUUAUUUCUAUUUCUGGGUACUGAUUGCUUUUUCUUUUCUUUCUUUAUGUUGUUAUUGUACAGUUGAUGAUCAUGAUCAACAUAAAUCUGUCUCAAGAAAUGGAAAAGGCCUUAAUAGAAAAUUUGUUCCAGGAAAUUUUGUCAUCAAAUCCUUCCUCAUAAAAGGUGUACACACAGUUUCAUGCAGUCUGAUGAAUCCCUUCACUUUUUGCAAAAGUAGCUGUGAUUGGAAUAGAAAUGUCGAUCGUAUUUCUAUUUUUUCGCUUCAGGAAAAAGCUGUCAUUGAAACUGAUUACCUUCCGAAGGAAGAGAAUUAAUGAACAUCCGAAACACAAGACCGGACCUAUGAAACUCCACUUACAUGCUAGCUCUGUAAUUCAAUGAUGUUGCAUCAAAUUGCCUUGUUCAAGUACCAUAAUAUCUUAAGACUUAAUGCCAA